rnacentral:rRNA from 1 species
AGUGAACGCUGGCGGUAGGCCUAACACAUGCAAGUCGAACGGCAGCACAGACGAGCUUGCUCCUUGGGUGGCGAGUGGCGGACGGGUGAGGAAUACAUCGGAAUCUACUCCGUCGUGGGGGAUAACGUAGGGAAACUUACGCUAAUACCGCAUACGACCUACGGGUGAAAGCAGGGGACCUUCGGGCCUUGCGCGAUUGAAUGAGCCGAUGUCGGAUGAGCGAGUUGCCGGGGUAAAGGCCCACCAAGGCGACGAUCCGUAGCAGGUCUGAGAGGAAGAUCAGCCACACUGGAACUGAGACACGGUCCAGACGCCUACGGGAGGCAGCAGUGGGGAAUAUUGGACAAUGGGCGCAAGCCUGAUCCAGCCAUACCGCGUGGGUGAAGAAGGCCUUCGGGUUGUAAAGCCCUUUUGUUGGGAAAGAAAUCCAGCUGGCUAAUACCCGGUUGGGAUGACGGUACCCAAAGAAUAAGCACCGGCUAACUUCGUGCCAGCCGCCGCCGUAA